rnacentral:rRNA from 1 species
GUGGGGAAUAUUGGACAAUGGGCGAAAGCCUGAUCCAGCCAUGCCGCGUGUGUGAAGAAGGUCUUCGGAUUGUAAAGCACUUUAAGUUGGGAGGAAGGGCAUUAACCUAAUACGUUAGUGUUUUGACGUUACCGACAGAAUAAGCACCGGCUAACUUCGUGCCAGCAGCCGCGGUAAUACGAAGGGUGCAAGCGUUAAUCGGAAUUACUGGGCGUAAAGCGCGCGUAGGUGGUUUUGUAAGUUGGAGGUGAAAUCCCCGGGCUCAACCUGUGAACUGCCUCCAAAACUGCAUGACUAGAGUACGGUAGAGGGUAGUGGAAUUUCCUGUGUAGCGGUGAAAUGCGUAGAUAUAGGAAGGAACACCAGUGGCGAAGGCGACUACCUGGACUGAUACUGACACUGAGGUGCGAAAGCGUGGGGAGCAAACAGGAUUAGAUACCCCAGUAGUCC